rnacentral:lncRNA from 1 species
AGGAAUUUAAAGUGUGUGUAAUCAGAUAUCCAUUAAUUAAAACUAUUUAAGUGAGUGCCUAUAUUUGAGUAUCCACAGUACCCUACCAAAAAUCUUUACGCUACUUUUUCAAGCCUUUUACAUAUGAGAGAAAGAAGCAGACAAAUAACUAAUCUUAAGACAGUGUGACAAGUGCUAUAAAAGGAAUGUAAAUAGUAAUAUUAGAUCAGAGAGUAAAGGUACAUUACCUCCCCUCCGUGGAAAGAUCCAGAAGGCCUCCCUAGAAGGUGAUACUUAAUCUAAUGUUUGAUGUUUUUAUUUAACCAUUAACCAGAAUGGGUUGAAAAAGGGUGAAGGUUAUUCUUGGAAGCAAAGCUAUUUAACCCAAAGUCAUGCAACAGAAGAACCCAACUUCUCAGAGAGCUGUAAAUAUCCAGCUUGGGCAAAAUCUUUUUCCCUUGAAGACUGGAAAUAUUAUCCAUGUUGUCCUCCGGAAUAUUUUCAAUGACUUGUGCCCUGCCAGCUCUAGCUUUUGAAGGGUCUACACUCAUCAUCAACAGAUUCUGGGGGUUCAUGCACAGAUUUCUUACCUGGGUAUAUUGUGUGAUGCUGAGCUUUGGAGUUCAACUGAUUUCAUCACCCAGCAACCAGCCCAGGAAGCCAGCCCAUUAUCCAGAGGAACCAACCAAGGAAGCCAGCCUGCUCUCUAGAAGCUAGACUUGUAGGAAGCCAGACCACUGUCUCUAGCAACUGAUCCAGGAAGACAGAAAAGAACACCUCAAUAACAGGACCAAAGUGGCCAGGACUUGACUGAUGAGUAACUGACAGCUUCCCUAAUUUUUGGCCCUACUUCCAACAGAAGAA